rnacentral:rRNA from 1 species
UACAGAGGUCCCAAGCGUUGUUCGGAUUCAUUGGGCGUAAAGGGCGCGUAGGUGGCGUCGUAAGUCGGGUGUGAAAUCUCGGGGCUUAACUCCGAAACUGCAUUCGAUACUGCGGUGCUUGAGGACUGGAGAGGAGACUGGAAUUUACGGUGUAGCAGUGAAAUGCGUAGAGAUCGUAAGGAAGACCAGUGGCGAAGGCGGGUCUCUGGACAGUUCCUGACACUGAGGCACGAAGGCCAGGGGAGCAAACGGG